UUUUUUACAGUUUUCUUUUAUACCCUUUUCAACGACCGACUAAGAUGGAGAGCAAACUGGAGCUGAACCAUCACCUCACUGAACUUCAGCGGUAGGAUAAAAGUUUGAGACUGAAACACAGAAAAUGAGGAUUACUUUAAUUAAAAACCAAAGACUGACAGAAAGAACUCUUGGAUUUUUGAAGAACACAUGGAUUUUUUUUAACUUGAGUUUCUUUUCCUCUUUCUUUGUCUGAGUUUUGGAUAAUUAAUUUAACUGUUGAAUCACUUUACACCUCGUUUCCUGUUAAGAUUAUUUGAAUCCAUCAUUUAAACCUAACUUUGUUGUAUUGUUUCAUUGAUAUUUUCACAGUCUGGGCUGUUUUUAAUAAAAAGUUUAAUUUUUCUAAA
rnacentral:lncRNA from 1 species